rnacentral:lncRNA from 10 species
GAUGUGUCUUAUCCUUCUGGCUUAAACCAAGCUGGGCUUAAAACAUCUUUUAAAAAAAAUCUGUAUUCUAUUUUUUUCUCUCUGUUUAUCGCUCUCCUUCUGCCUCUGUUAAUCUUUGUUUCUGUGUAGUUGCAUCCUGUUUCUGUCUGAAAACCCUUGUCUUUCUGAAUCCAUCUUUCAGUCUCUCACAUUCUGUCUUUCCCCUCCUCCUUCACCUUCCCUCCGUCCCUCUCCCUUGCGCACUUGCCGGGUACCAGCUGAGUGCAUCCUUUUCCCAAACCUGCUCUGCUUCCAAGGGGCCCUUUUCUGUCUCCUCCACCUGUCCCCAUGUUUUGGGGACUGCCUGGAAAUCCGGGACACCCUCCUGAGGAGGGAGCUGGUGCCCAACGGCACCUCUUAGGAUGAACCCAGCCAGCUGCGUUCCUGGCCUCUGCAGAAUGGCAUACAGAAGGCAUUUUAAGCAAGCGAGCUGAGCUCGCCGCAGGACUCCGACUACCAGGCACCGGCAAGAUGUGGGAAUCCUGAAAGGUUGGCGCUGAAGAUCCUGCAGUUGGUGUGUGCAAGCUGGCAGCCAGGCCGCUGCCGGAGGAAGGGGGUCCUCUGUGCUUUGCAUGUCCCUGGGUAUUUGGGAAACUUGGCAGCCGGUUGCUCUAAGUGAACCCUGACUCUGGAGUAGGCACUGGGCACCCUGGCGGAGAGGACAGAGCCGGAGACAAGGACUGGCCUCAGGGAGUUUCCAGUUCAAAUAGGAACAGACCCGAUCACACGCGAUACGCUCACCCUCAGACACAUUGCUGCUGCCUGCAUUUCCUCCGGGCUGCCAUCCCCCUUCCCCUACCCUGGCCUCUGUCUGCCACGACUGCCCUUGUCUACCUGCCAAGCUCUAAUUAUCGUUAAACAUCCCGUCACUGCUUCCCGGAAAUCUUUAACUUCCACCCAAGAACAGCUAACACUAUACGCCCUCCUCUACCUGCAGAAAUCACUUGGACCCUCUGACAUCACAUGUCCAACCGACCUCUUUCUCCACAUUUGCCCGUGAGCUGCACUUCAUUUUGCAAGGACAUAAAGAAGACUAUUCACGCAACUACAUGCAAAAUGACUGGCUGGGAUUCCUAAAACGCCAAUGUCUUUUAAAAGGCAAAAGGGCUGAGAAAUGGUUCCAGGUUAAAAGAGAUUAAAGAGCCAUGAGCCCAAAUGCAAUGUUUGAUCCUAGGAUGAAGCCUGGAUCAGGGGAACAGAAAACACUUGUGGGCUGGGCUCAGUGGCUCAUACCUGUAAUCCCAGUGCUUUGGGAGUCCGAGGGAGGAGGAUCACUUGAAGUCAAGAGUUAGAGACUAGCCUCAGGAAUAUAGGGAGACCCCAUCUCUACAAAAAAUAAAUAUAAAAAUAAACUAACCAGACAUAGUGGUGUGUGCCUGUGAUCCCAGCUACUCAGGAGGCUGAGGCAAGAGGAUCACCUGAGCCCAAGAGUUCGAGGCUGCAGUGAGCCAUGAGCCAUGAUCAUGCCACUGCACUCCAGCCUAGGUGAUAGAGCGAGACCCUGUCUCU